rnacentral:rRNA from 1 species
UACAGAGUCUGCAAGCGUUAUUCGGAUUCACUGGGCGUAAAGGGUGCGCAGGCGGCCGGGCGUGUCAGAUGUGAAAUCCCGAGGCUUAACCUCGGAACUGCGUCUGAAACUACUCGGCUAGAGUAUUGGAGAGGGUAACGGAAUUCACGGUGUAGCAGUGAAAUGCGUAGAUAUCGUGAGGAACACCAGAGGCGAAGGCGGUUACCUGGACAAUUACUGACGCUCAGGCACGAAAGCAUGGGGAGCAAAAGGG